GUUCUGUGGCGGAUAGAUCGGAUGUGGAGCGCAGCCUUCGGCGAGAAAGCCACCUCCAGUGACACGCUUGUAGGAAGCAGGGUCUAAUGAUGUUCGAUUUUGCAACCGAUGGUUUAAUUGUUCAAAUGGGAGCUUCAUAGGGGCAUAUUCUCAAUUCCAUUACCUUCUUAGAUUGUUGCUUUUUGGUUGAUGCAAUACUCAGUCUGGUGGUUUCCUUUUGUUUUUGAUGCAGAGGGUGGAUGUUUCAGAAUGGCGCAGAUAGGUUGAGCAGCAAUAUAUGUUUUUUAAGUCCUAGGUGAGCACUCAGGUUCUGUGAAUUUUCCCUUCACAGUACUGCAGUAUUUUCAUGCUUCAAGGAAAUAGAAAUAAUAUGGUUUCUCUCUCCCAGAUUGUUAAUACCGAGAAUGGAAUUGGAGAAGAGAUACUUUUGGUGUUGUCCUAUUACCUCUCGUGUCUGAUAGGUGACACAAAGUUAUCGGUUUAGUUGGCAAAACAAAAGAGUCCAGAUCAAUUGUGAGGAUAUGAUGAUUGGCAUACUUAGGCCUGAAUCUUGUAUCUACAUCUGCAAUGUAGUGUCUGUCGUGGUUCUAAGUCUGACAGUAGAAUGGGGGGUAGGUAUAGAGAGGCAAGAUCCUAGCUAUGGAGUAGUUGUACACACGAGUGUUUUACGAGUUCAGGCCCUUCUCGGAGGAAGUAAUAGCCCUACGUCUCGGAGCCCGGAGGCGGUCGACUGGUUUAUGUGUAUAUGAGUUACAGGGGUGUAAACCCUUCUACCAGUGGAGGGGGUGGCUUAUAUAGAGGACGCCAGGACCCCAGCCAACCCACGUAGCAGAGGGUUAAAGUACAUUAAGGCCGGGCGUUACUAGUAACGCCCUAUAUAAAAUGUCAUCAUGACCAUUAAGACUACUUAAUUACAGACCGUUU
rnacentral:lncRNA from 1 species